AACGCGAAGAACCUUACCAGCGUUUGACAUGGAAAGUACCGGUUACAGAAUGGUAACCUUCAGUUCGGCUGGCUUUCACACAGGUGCUGCAUGGCUGUCGUCAGCUCGUGUCGUGAGAUGUUCGGUUAAGUCCGGCAACGAGCGCAACCCACAUCUUUAGUUGCCAGCAGGUUAAGCUGGGCACUCCAGAGAAACUGCCCGUGAUAAGCGGGAGGAAGGUGUGGAUGACGUCAAGUCCUCAUGGCCCUUACGGGUUGGGCUACACACGUGCUACAAUGGCAGUGACAAUGGGUUAAUCCCAAAAAGCUGUCUCAGUUCGGAUUGGGGUCUGCAACUCGACCCCAUGAAGUCGGAAUCGCUAGUAAUCGCGUAACAGCAUGACGCGGUGAAUACGUUCCCGGGUCUUGUACACACCGAAU
rnacentral:rRNA from 1 species